AGUUUUACAGUCCUAUGGUGUUCAUACUCAGAUCAAAAUGACCAAACAUAAGGACCUGCCUUGUCUGAAAAAGGAGAUCUCCCUAGACAAAUGAACUUGCCUGUAUUUGCUAGGUCAUUUGUUUCUUUGUAUGCCACACAUUUUUAAUCAUGCAUCCCUAUUUUGGUAAAGCUUUUUUUUUUUUUUCAGACUCAAGUACUACUGCAUGUUUGUCUUGGGCUGGUGGAUUAUAUUAUCCUUUGGAGGUCUCUCUAAAGUAUACUUUAUUCUAGGGAGUGAUUGAUUCGGAAAGAAUGGAUUUUGAGCUGUUGCCAGAUGAUGAACGUCAGUGUGUAAAAUGCAAAACUACAUGCUUCAUGUCUGCCAUCUCCUGUUCUUGUAAACCUGGCCUUCUUGUUUGCCUGCAUCAUGUAAAAGAAUUGUGUUCCUGUCCUCCUUACAAAUAUAAAUUGCGGUAUAGGUACACGCUGGAUGAUCUCUACCCUAUGAUGAAUGCAUUGAAGCUUCGAGCAGAAUCUUACAACGAAUGGGCCUUGAAUGUGAAUGAAGCUUUGGAGGCA
rnacentral:lncRNA from 1 species